rnacentral:rRNA from 1 species
AUACGGAGGGUGCAAGCGUUGUUCGGAAUCACUGGGCGUAAAGGGCGCGCAGGCGGUUUGGUAAGUCAGAUGUGAAAGCCCACGGCUCAACCGUGGAAGUGCAUUUGAAACUGCCAGACUUGAGUACCAGAGGGGAUAGUGGAAUUCCCGGUGUAGAGGUGAAAUUCGUAGAUAUCGGGAGGAAUACCGGUGGCGAAGGCGACUUUCUGGCUGGAUACUGACGCUGAGGCGCGAAAGCGUGGGGAGCAAACAGGAUUAGAUACCCCAGUAGUCC